rnacentral:rRNA from 1 species
UAGGGAAUCUUCCACAAUGGACGCAAGUCUGAUGGAGCAACGCCGCGUGAGUGAAGAAGGGUUUCGGCUCGUAAAGCUCUGUUGUUAAAGAAGAACACGUAUGAGAGUAACUGUUCAUACGUUGACGGUAUUUAACCAGAAAGUCACGGCUAACUACGUGCAG